ACGGAAGGCAGCAGUGGGGAAUAUUGCACAAUGGGGGAAACCCUGAUGCAGCAACGCCGCGUGAAGGAAGACGGUCUUCGGAUUGUAAACUUUUGUUCUUAGUGAAGAUAAUGACGGUAGCUAAGGAGGAAGCCACGGCUAACUACGUGCCAGCAGCCGCGGUAAUACGUAGGUGGCAAGCGUUGUCCGGAUUUACUGGGUGUAAAGGGAGCGCAGGCGGGAGAUCAAGUUGGAUGUGAAAUGUCGGGGCUUAACCCCGGAACUGCAUCCAAAACUGAUUUUCUUGAGUGAAGUAGAGGUAGGCGGAAUUCCGAGUGUAGUGGUGAAAUGCGUAGAUAUUCGGAGGAACACCAGUGGCGAAGGCGGCCUACUGGGCUUUAACUGACGCUGAGGCUCGAAAGUGUGGGGAGCAAACAGGAUUAGAUACCCUGGUA
rnacentral:rRNA from 1 species